CAAUAGCGUAUAUUUAAGUUGUUGCAGUUAAAAAGCUCGUAGUUGGAUUUCGGAUGGGACUUGCCGGUCCGUCGUUUCGAUGUGCACUGGCCAGUCCUAUCUUGUUGUCGGGGACUAGCUCCUGGGCUUCACUGUCCGGGACUAGGAGCUGACGAGGUUACUUUGAGUAAAUUAGAGUGUUCAAAGCAAUCCUACGCUCUGAAUACAUUAGCAUGGAAUAACACGAUAGGACUCUGGCUUAUCUUGUUGGUCUGUGAGACCAGAGUAAUGAUUAAGAGGGACAGUCGGGGGCAUUCGUAUUUCAUUGUCAGAGGUGAAAUUCUUGGAUUUAUGAAAGACGAACUUCUGCGAAAGCAUUUGUCAAGGAUGUUUUCAUUAA
rnacentral:rRNA from 1 species